GAUGAACGCUGGCGGCGUGCCUAAUACAUGCAAGUCGAGCGAACAGAUAAGGAGCUUGCUCCUUUGACGUUAGCGGCGGACGGGUGAGUAACACGUGGGUAACCUACCUAUAAGACUGGGAUAACUUCGGGAAACCGGAGCUAAUACCGGAUAAUAUUUCGAACCGCAUGGUUCGAUAGUGAAAGAUGGUUUUGCUAUCACUUAUAGAUGGACCCGCGCCGUAUUAGCUAGUUGGUAAGGUAACGGCUUACCAAGGCGACGAUACGUAGCCGACCUGAGAGGGUGAUCGGCCACACUGGAACUGAGACACGGUCCAGACUCCUACGGGAGGCAGCAGUAGGGAAUCUUCCGCAAUGGGCGAAAGCCUGACGGAGCAACGCCGCGUGAGUGAUGAAGGUCUUCGGAUCGUAAAACUCUGUUAUUAGGGAAGAACAUAUGUGUAAGUAACUGUGCACGUCUUGACGGUACCUAAUCAGAAAGCCACGGCUAACUACGUG
rnacentral:rRNA from 1 species